rnacentral:rRNA from 1 species
CGUAGGAGAACGCUGGCGGCGUGCCUAAUACAUGCAAGUCGAGCGAACAGACAAGGAGCUUGCUCCUUUGACGUUAGCGGCGGACGGGUGAGUAACACGUGGGUAACCUACCUAUAAGACUGGGAUAACUUCGGGAAACCGGAGCUAAUACCGGAUAAUAUUUCGAACCGCAUGGUUCGAUAGUGAAAGAUGGUUUUGCUAUCACUUAUAGAUGGACCCGCGCCGUAUUAGCUAGUUGGUAAGGUAACGGCUUACCAAGGCGACGAUACGUAGCCGACCUGAGAGGGUGAUCGGCCACACUGGAACUGAGACACGGUCCAGACUCCUACGGGAGGCAGCAGUAGGGAAUCUUCCGCAAUGGGCGAAAGCCUGACGGAGCAACGCCGCGUGAGUGAUGAAGGUCUUCGGAUCGUAAAACUCUGUUAUUAGGGAAGAACAUACGUGUAAGUAACUAUGCACGUCUUGACGGUACCUAAUCAGAAAGCCACGGCUAACUACGUGCCAGCAGCCGCGGUAAUACGUAGGUGGCAAGCGUUAUCCGGAAUUAUUGGGCGUAAAGCGCGCGUAGGCGGUUUUUUAAGUCUGAUGUGAAAGCCCACGGCUCAACCGUGGAGGGUCAUUGGAAACUGGAAAACUUGAGUGCAGAAGAGGAAAGUGGAAUUCCAUGUGUAGCGGUGAAAUGCGCAGAGAUAUGGAGGAACACCAGUGGCGAAGGCGACUUUCUGGUCUGUAACUGACGCUGAUGUGCGAAAGCGUGGGGAUCAAACAGGAUUAGAUACCCUGGUAGUCCACGCCGUAAACGAUGAGUGCUAAGUGUUAGGGGGUUUCCGCCCCUUAGUGCUGCAGCUAACGCAUAAGCACUCCGCUGGGAGAGCGACUUGG